rnacentral:rRNA from 1 species
AUUGAACGCUGGCGGCAGGCCUAACACAUGCAAGUCGAGCGAGCGGCGGACGGUUGAGUAAUGUCUGGGAAACUGCCUGAUGGAGGGGGAUAACUACUGGAAACGGUAGCUAAUACCGCAUACCAUCAGAUGUGCCCAGAUGGGAUUAGCUAGUAGGUGGGGUAACGGCUCACCUAGGCGACGAUCCCUAGCUGGUAGGAGAGGAUGACCAGCAAGACUGGAACUGAGAAAAGGGCAAGACUCCUACGGGAGGCAGCAGUGGGGAAUAGUGCACAAUGGGAGCAAGCCUGAUGCAGACAGGCGGCGGGGGGGAAGAAGGCCGUAGGGGUGGAAAGCACUUUCAACGGGGAGGCGUUACCCGCAGAAGAAGCACCGGCUAACUCCGUGCCAGCCGCCGCGGUAAUAC